UGUGGGAGCGGGCUUGCUCGCGAAGACGUCGUGUCAGUUGCUUUUUUGUUGGCUGACACACCGCUUUCGCGAGCAGGCUCGCUCCCACA
rnacentral:antisense_RNA from 1 species